GCGCCGCCUCGCUUCCAACCCCGCCCGCUUGGCUGGCCGCCGAGCUCCCGCCACCGCACUUCCUCCUUGUGCCGGCUCUCGGACCCCAGGUUCUCCGCUCGCCCCCGCCGCCCCGAAAUGCGAUCCCCGGAGAAGGCAGGUUAUCCUUUCCCAAGUGCAAAGCCACCCCUGCGCCCGAAAUGAGCUUUCCGCGCAGCCAAGAGUCAGGAUGGAGGAGAGUCACCAGGUCACCCUUUGGGUCCUUCUCUUUUCGAGCCCCGUUACCCCCAGCGAGGCCUGCGUGCGACAGAUCCUGGUGGCUUCACCUUCGAUAUUCAUCCAGAAUCUGACCACCAUUUAACACCUCCAUCAUUCCCACCAUCAUCUGUCACUGAAAUAAACCACUUGAAGUACCCCUAGUGGCUCCCCAAGCCAUUCACAGUAAAGGGCGCCUGGGUGGCUCAGUUGGUUAAGCGACUGCCUUCGGCUCAGGUCAUGAUCCUGGAGUCCCGGGAUCGAGUCCCGGGAUCGAGUUCCGCAUCGGCCUCCCUGCUGGGCAGGGCGUCUGCUUCUCCCUCUGGCCCUCCCCCCUCUCCUGUGCUCUCUCUCAUUCUCUCUCUC